AAAUUGGCUUGUUUUGUUGAUUGAAUAACUGAGCAUUAAUUAAUAAAUAAUAACGAUAAUAUUGGAGUCAAAUCAAGCAAGGCUAUAUGGAGAACCGUAUUGUAUCGUGAAUUAUGUAUCAAGAAUCGUAUCGAAUCGGCUCAUCCUAGAUGAUACCCAGCCCUAUAAUCUGGUGUGCCUUAUGGUCCGAAAAAUACAGUACUAUGUUUAGAUUUUGCGUAAAAAAAGUAACUAAUGCUUUUAUGGAAUUGACACGCAAGUUCAGACAGUAAUUUUAGUGCCAUUUACUCUGUUGUUUUGAAAAAAAAAUCCGAGACGCCAUGUACAUUAAUGAGACCCACACCAUCACAGAUCCUUCACCAUACCUAAGAAUAGGAGUGAGGUGCUUUGUUUCAUAGGAAUAGGAGUGAUUUGUUUCAUACUAAUUAAAGUCUCAGUAAGGUUUAAUCAACUUAACAUAUUAACUUUUGAGAUUGUAGGGCAGAAAAUGCCUUUUCUUUGGCUACAUUUGUUUUAUAGGACAUUUUAGUGUGAGGGUGGGAGUUGUGUGGCAAGUGAACGUCACUUUGUUUAAAGGCCAGAUUGCAGGAAAUGUCAUUUUCAGUCAUACCAUCACAAUGUGCAGUCUGCUAAACUGUUCUGGGACUUUAACUGGAACUGUGCACAUACAACUUUGGUCAUAUUGGACCACAAUAGCACUUUUCAGGAAAACAAAUGUGCAAAACAAAAAUGGUGAAUAUGUGGAAAACCGUCUCUUUGUCCAUUGUUAGAUACGGUGAAGAAUCCAUAAUGAUGUGGGCCUGUUUAACCACCAUGAAAAAAUUACUUGGUUUUAAGACUGUAUUUCCUAUCCUAUUGUGUAACCAUUGUGUGCUUCCUCCCAUCCAUCCCUCUUUUUCUCCUGCCUUUCUUCCUGGUGUAUUCUUCAUCUCACCCUCUGUAUUUUGUCCUCCUGCCCACCCUCAGGUGUUUUUUUAUUUCUUUCUACAUUCCUCUCUAUAUGUCCAUUCCUUGCUUCCCUCCUUCCUUGUGACCCUCCCACUUUUCUCUCCAUCAUUCCUUCCUUGUGAUGUUAUUCUUAUCUCACUAUAAGUCAUUCCUUUUUACCUUCAUACUUUUCUUUCUUUCCUUCCUUCCUUCCUUCCUUCCUUCCUUCCUUCCUUCCUUCCUUCCUUCCUUCCUUCCUUCCUUCCUUCCGUGUGACUGUCCUACUUUUCUGUCUAUCAUUCCCUUCCUUGCUUCCAGUUGGUGUAUUAUUCCAGGUUUGAUAUUUAUUGUUUCUUAUCAGAAAUAUCAGCCAUAAAUUAAUUAUGAACUUGUUAGUGUUAUACAUUUUAAAAUGGACUCAAAAGAGUAAGAACUCUUUGAAGUUGAGUCUGGAAAAGUGUGGAAAUUUUAGACGAAAGAAAUUUGUAAAAAAAAAAUAUUCCUCAUAUUAACCUAUAACUGUAGAGGGGUCUAUCUCUUAAAAAUAACAAUAAUCAUUUAUUCUUUUUAUUAUAAGACAUUAGCACAUGUAUUGUGUAUGUAUUUAAAACACAGUGGAGUAGGAGUAAAAAUGUAUUAAUAUUUAAGUGUUUGUCAGUGAUUCAGUCUUAAAAAUGUAUAUUUUAAGCCAUCUGGAGCCAGCAGAUUAUGUGAAAUGCAGAGCAGCAAAACUUUCACAGUUGGCCCAUUUUUAGAGAAAAGCAAUAUCUACUCAGCUCAUUGCCCCUUUAAAUAUAUCUAUUUAGAUUUUAUUAUGCAUUAAUUGUGUUGUAAUAGAAAAAGAAAAUAGCAGAAUCACAAGCUUGGAAACAUUGAGGACGUGUAGAUUAUCUCUAAUUUGCUCGUUUCUUACGCUGCUAAUUUGUUUCAGCAUGUUGUGUUCGCUGCCAAACAACGUAGCAUCUCUGAAGCAAAACAUACAAGGUUAUCAUUUUUAAGAUGGUCGUCCUGAUGUUUUUGUCUGUGUUGUCUUCAUUCAGCAGAAAGAUUCCAGCUGUGAUAAAGCCAUGCAGUAGAAGCCUCGUUGCUCAUUUCAUGCCUUAAGGGGGAAAUGUUUGGUUAUCCAUACAUCUGUUCAGUUGAAUUGAAACCUCCAGAGAGGUAAAUGUUUAACUGACACAGAUUGCAUUAGAGGUGUUAUAUGCCAUAAUUCACGCCAAUGCACUGUGAGUGUAAGUCAGUAGCUGCUUUCUGUGCUUUCUGUUCACCAGUAAUGUAACUCCUUGACUGGAAACCUGGAAUAAUGGCUGCAUAAGACACAAUACAUUUUCUAUUUACAGAGCUGACAAAGGCUGCAUCCGAAACGUUCUAAUUAAAGCUUCUUGCUCCCGUUUCUUGACCUUUCAUGAGGUCAACAGUAAGAACGCUAUUGUGAGGAAGAAAGGAGCUUCGGACUGCUGCUUUUAACAUCCAUGUCAUUACCGACAUGGAUGAUGCUCGUCAAAUACAGCCUUCGGAAAAAGAACUACAAAAAACACAAGUUAGAUAAAUGAAUAUGCAAAAUAAACGAUGUGGGAAACCUCAUCAAAUAAUGAGAGAUUAAUUUUCAAGGUUAAAAUAUGUAUCGAUACAUUCAAUUUCAAAGCUUUAAACAUGGUUUAAUACUUUGCCGUUAUGCUAGUACACUAUGGGAUCUUUUCUCUCUGGACAGUUUGGUUAAUCUCUGUGAGCUGGGCUGUGCUUAAACGUCAUAUCACGCAAAGGAUUGUGGGAUUUCUUAUAGCUCCCUAGCACCAGUAAGAGACGUUGCAGGGUUCCUAGGCAAAACUAGCCGCGGGAGGGAGCAUACAGGCUACUUUUCCUAACCCCUUUCCUUACCAGCUUGCACUAGUCGGACAGCAGUUGUCAUGGCAACUGCUGAUGCACUUCGCUUUGGCUAAAGCUUUACCACUUAGACCUUUUUGGAUGCAGCCAUACUCUACUUGGUUCAUUUGACACCUAUGUCAAAUGUUGCUGUUAUGACACUUUUUGCCAUUAGGAGGCAGUCUGAUUCAUACAUGCCGGACAAAGAAAGCAACUCAAGUCUGUUGAACUGUUGUUGCCCUUUAAAUGUCUUACAAUCUGUCUUGUUUGGUCAAACAUUGAACAUUUCUCAAAUAUCUAAAUAAAGAAAUAUUGUUUACA